UGACAUAGCUCAAUAGGUAGAGCAGCUGACUUGUAAUCAGCAGGUUGGGGGUUCGAUUCCUCUUGUCA
rnacentral:tRNA from 1 species